ACCAGGAAGCCUUGCCUGCCAUGCCAACUUCAACAGUCUAGAGAGGGGGCUUGCCAUCAUCAGUUUGGAGGUGAGGACGCUGUGGUUCAGAGAAGUGAGGUGGCUUCUCCGAGGUCACACAGUCCAGUGAGAGAGCUACGAUUUAAACCAGGUCCGUCUUAAUCCACUGAAUGUGCUAUAUCAGGAGAGAAAGGUAUGCUGGAGUGCAAAUUUGGAGUGGGCAUAUUUGUGGCCUCCUGAAGGGAACAAGUGGCUAGAGGAGCUGCAGAGCUCUGCGGGGCUUGAAAGGUGUCCAUAACCUUCCAUUAUCCACCUUGACCAGGACAGAAGCAUUAGUUCAUGGGAGAGCAGAAUUUGGUUCCUGCAGAGUUUAUCAAUUCUUAUAAUUAUCCAGAAUGACUCAUGUUGCGGCCAAACCAAGUGCCUUCUGCAAACGGGCCAUCCAGACCAGGGUUGAGUCAGCUGCGUCAGUGGGAGCCACACGGGGCUUGUGGCCAUGGUCAAGGCAAAUAUGUAGGUUUGUGGUCAAGGCCUUCUAGCAGGCAUGAGAAAUAUGGGGAAGUCAUGGGAGCACUUCAUGCUUCAGAACUAAAGGGAGGGAUUAGGAAGACAGAGCAGCAGAAGCAGGAGGUUUUGCUUGGAAUCUGCCAUCAGCAAUGCCGAGGCCUGGCCUUGGUGGAAAUGGAGGUGCUGCUUAACUUUUCUUCCAAAACAUAGUACAACCCUAGUCAUCCUGGUGAGUAACAAGAUUGCUCCAUAAUCCAACCCAGUGAGUAAUCCCUUUUGCUGAUGGUGAGUGGUAUGGAGAGAAAAACAUGAAAGUGCACUGUGGAAAUAAUGCCAGUAGCUCCCACCAGAAAUCCCUUAGGCUGUGCCUAUUAGAGCUAGGGUACACAUCUAGAAAAUGCCCCUUUCUUUAUCAGUACCCAACAUAUAGGACCUGUUAACCCUGCUCAUGCUUUAUGUACACAUUGAAUGUUUAUCUGGCUCUUGAUGCCAUCUCAAGAAAGAGACUCAACACCACAAAAUACUUAAGAGAAAUGUAUAUGAUAUGGUUUGGCUGUGUCACCAUCCAAAUCUCAUCUUGAAUUGUAGCUCCCACAAUUCCCACGUGUUGUGGGAGGGACUUGGUAGGAGAUAAUUGAAUCUUGGGGGCAGUUCCCCCAUACUGUUCUCAUGGUAGUGAAUAAGUCUCAUGAGACCUGAUGAUUUUGUAAGGGGUUUCCCCUUUCGCUUGGUCCUCAUUCUGUCUUGCCUGCUGCCAUGUAAGACGUGCCUUUCGCCUUCUGCCUUGAUUGUGAGGCCUCUCCAGCUAGAUGGAACUGUGAGUCCAUUAAACCUCUUUUUCUUUAUAAAUUACCCAGUCUCAGGUAUGUCUUUAUUAGCAGUGUGAGAACAGACUAAUACAAUAUAUUUUACUGAAGAUAUUGUGAACAUCAACAGGAAGAAUCCACAAUGCAUUUCACACUGCAAAAAUACAGUAAAACACCCCCAUUACACAUAUUUCUUGAUUUUCAAAAAGCAUUUUUCUUUACCAGCUUUCUUAUCUCCCUUUCUUUUCUUGCUUCAAAACACUCUAUUCUCUGAGCAAUUCAGCUCAGUGUUUCUUGUUCUAACAGAGCAUUCUGCAAGGAUCAUGUUCCUUCUUCCACAUAUUCAUCCUUUAGAUGUUUCUUUCAUGAGAAGCUAUGAGUGGUAAACUGUCUUGGUUAUUGUUUCACCAAAAUGUUUUUAUUUUGCUAUCAUUCUUGAAAGGUAACAUUUCUGAGGACACAGUUCCAGAUUGACAAUUAUUUUUUUCAGCCUUUGAUGACAUGAUUCCAUUGUCUUUGUGCUUUGUUAUUUCUGACAGAGGUCUGCUGUCAGACUAUAGUCAUUUUGUAGUAGAUGAGCUAUCUUUCAUUUCAUGUGACUUAAACCAUUUUCUCUUUUGCUUUGGUGUUUUACAGUUUCACCUGAUGUGCCUAGUGUGUGUGACUAUUAUUAUUAUUAUUAUUAUCAUUUUUUGAGAUAGGGUCUCACUCUGUCACUCAGGCUGGAGUGCAGUGGCAUGAUCUAGGUUCACUGCAGUCUUGACCUCCUGGGCUCUAGUGAUCCUCCCACCUUGAGACCCUGAGUAUUUGGGACCACAGGCACAUGCCAUCACACCUGGCUAAUUUUUAAAUUUUUUUGUAGAGCUGAGAUCUCAUUAUGUUGCCCAGGCUGAUCGCAAACUCCUGAGCUCAAGCAAUCCUCCUGCCUCAGCCUCCCAAAGUGCUGACAUUACAGGUGUGAGCUGAGGUGCGUAGCUAUAUUUGGAAAUUUGUCCUGCAUUAUUCUUCCUGUCUCUGAGGAUUCAUGUCAUUCAUUAGUUCUAGAAUUUCCUUAGCCACUUUCUUUUUGGAAUGUCUCUCCCAUUGUUUCUAUUCUUUCUUCUGGGACUCCGGGUGUAUGUUAGAACUUCUCAUUCCUCCCUUUUUCUUACUCAUUGUAUUCUCUCAUCUUUUUCUUGCUGCAUUCUGAGUGUUUUCUUAAGAUCUGUCUUCAGUUCACAAAUUCUUUAGUCAUUCAUGUUUAUUUUGCUGCUUCACUUAUCUAUUAGUUUAUUUAUCUUUGCAUUCAUUCAUCUAUGUAUCUUUCAUCUACACAUGUACACGCAUAUAUAUGUAGUUUAAUGCAUGUUAUUUUAAUUAGAUAUAGU
rnacentral:lncRNA from 1 species